rnacentral:sRNA from 1 species
UCAAUUAGUUUUGUUUUAAUUAGACUUAGCAGGAAGAAGAAAGGCAUGAUGAGGAUUGUUUUAUUGUCAUCUGAUUCUUAUUGAUGAAUCUAUACCUCCUACUCAUUCUGAGUGCCUUCUCUUGCUCUUAAUUUUCAGUCA